AACCUUUCUUCUGGCUUCUCAAAAAAUUGUGAAAACUACUUGUGAGAAAGUGCUGAGAAGGCCUUAAGCCAUGCAUGAUAAGAAAGGUUAUUCCCACUGGGCAAAACAGAAGAUGGCUUCAAUGACUCUUCUGAAGGCAUCUUGCUCAUUUGAGCUUUGCUUCUUUCAGAUUGUAUACAUAAACCCCUUUUUUGUCUGGCCACAGCAGGAAACAGGAGACAGUUUCCAUGUUCAGUGUCAGGCCUACCAGGUGACAUUCACACACACAUGUACACAGGCACAAAAUUGUAUGCUAUGGUUGCUUUUGUGGACAGGAGGGGCUGUUGUCAUCUAUAACCCUUGCUGUCACAACCCUAAUUUUUCAUUUAAUGAUUCCAUAACCUGUCUCCCUCUAUGCUUUUUUUGGUAUCUUCAUCUUGGAUGUACCGAGUGACUCCCCAAACAACACCCAACCAUCCUUAUUUCAGAACUUCUACUCCAUGCCUCUCAUUCUGGUGAAUGAUUUGGGCAGUGACUUCAGUUGUUUUGGAUAAAAUAAAUUAAAAAAAAAAAAAAGGUAUUUGACUGGAGUUGGAAGUAGGCUAUCAUUCCUAGUAACCUUAAAUAGGAUUUAGACUUUUCAUAAAUCAGAGGUGCAUUUCAUGGAAGUUAGUUGCAAUCUGCCUUUUAGUGUCUCCUGCACCAUUAUGACUUUCUGUCUAUUUGAGCAGACAAGUGCCUGCUUCCCAGAGUGGAAUCCAUUAUCCUGAAAUUACUUUCAAGCAUCUUUUUUUGUGUGCUUAGCAGGAGCAAUUUAAGUCUGCAGUCUAACAGUGCAUUGUCUCUAAAGGGGAAUCUUUUGCCAGUGGCCACCACUCAGCCCCUUGAUACCCCUUGUUUAAGAAGAUGAGGAAGAAGCGUAGCACAUACGUCUUCCUCAAGAUUUCUUUCAGGAAACUAUUCCAGAUUUCUCCUGUUCCUUAACUAAGGAGUUAAGGAUUGGAAUGUCAGCCUUUGAGGGCUCAGUUACAUUGUAUUAGGUGAAUCUUUGGUCUGAAUAUGCAUAGUCACUAUUCUGCCACCAGUAUUACUAAGGAAGUUCUUCCUCCACUGAUUUAACAGCAGCAGUCAUGCACAUGAAAAUAACAGGCUUUCAGAACUACGGUGUUCAAAUUACCCAAGUACCACUGGGAGUGGACUCAUCUAUUCUGUGAAUGUGUUGACUAGAAUAUCUUCUGUUUCCAGUGCACAAAUCCUGACAGAGGUGCAGGGUUCUUAGUUCAGACGCUGAGGAGCUGAGUAAGCUAUGACUUUGUAUUGCUGGUAUCUGCAGAAUAUUAUUUUGGAUAUCUACCUAGCCCUUCCUGCCAUUGUCUAUGAAUUCAUGCUCUGACAACAGGAAGCCAUACAGAA